rnacentral:rRNA from 1 species
UACGAAGGGGGCUAGCGUUGCUCGGAAUUACUGGGCGUAAAGCGCACGUAGGCGGAUCGUUAAGUCGGGGGUGAAAUCCUGGAGCUCAACUCCAGAACUGCCUUCGAUACUGGCGAUCUCGAGUUCGGGAGAGGUGAGUGGAACUGCGAGUGUAGAGGUGAAAUUCGUAGAUAUUCGCAAGAACACCAGUGGCGAAGGCGGCUCACUGGCCCGAUACUGACGCUGAGGUGCGAAAGCGUGGGAGCAAACAGG